rnacentral:rRNA from 1 species
UACGAACGCUGGCGGCGUGCUUAACACAUGCAAGUCGAACGGAAAGGCCCUGCUUUUGUGGGGUGCUCGAGUGGCGAACGGGUGAGUAACACGUGAGUAACCUGCCCUUGACUUUGGGAUAACUUCAGGAAACUGGGGCUAAUACCGGAUAGGAGCUCCUGCUGCAUGGUGGGGGUUGGAAAGUUUCGGCGGUUGGGGAUGGACUCGCGGCUUAUCAGCUUGUUGGUGGGGUAGUGGCUUACCAAGGCUUUGACGGGUAGCCGGCCUGAGAGGGUGACCGGCCACAUUGGGACUGAGAUACGGCACAGACUCCUACGGGAGGCAGCAGUGGGGAAUAUUGCACAAUGGGCGGAAGCCUGAUGCAGCAACGCCGCGUGCGGGAUGACGGCCUUCGGGUUGUAAACCGCUUUCGCCUGUGACGAAGCGUGAGUGACGGUAAUGGGUAAAGAAGCACCGGCUAACUACGUG